rnacentral:rRNA from 1 species
GGAUUNAAUUGGANGANCUCUGGCGGCAGNUCUAACACAUGCAACUCGAGCGCGCCCUUCGGGGUGAGCGGCGGACGGGUGAGUAACGCGUGGGAACGUGCCCUUCUCUACGGAAUAGUCUCGGGAAACUGGGGGUAAUACCGUAUACGCCCUUCGGGGGAAAGAUUUAUCGGAGAGGGAUCGGCCCGCGUUGGAUUAGGUAGUUAGUGGGGUAAUGGCUCACCAAGCCGACGAUCCAUAUUAUGGUUUGAGAGGAUGACCAGCCACACUGGGACUGANACACGGCCCAAACUCCUACNGCAGGCANCAGUGGGGAAUCUUAUA